GAACAAACGCCAACCUUGUUUUUAUGCAGGAUUUUUAUUAAUCCAAUUUUCGUUUGGUAGAUUGCAAAACGCGCACCUGGAAUAAAUUAUCGAAUGUCAAAUAAAUAUGCGUUUUUACCCAUCCUCGUUCGAAGGAUAAAAUUAUUUAAAGAUAUAUUUCGUUUCAUAUCGCCACCGUCGAUCAAUUAUUUGAUAGUUAUCAGGAAAGAACUGAUCGAUUUUCUGCUAAAUACGUACCGACACAAUUUCUGGGUCCAUGUCCAAAAGGUAAGUAAUACAUAGGAUUCCUUUCUUCUAUCUUAUCCUCGGAAAAUCUUUCGGGAUCAAAUUUUUCUGGAUCUGGAUAAAUCUCUGGGUC